GCUUGCGGGGGGAUUAGUGGCGAACGGGUGAGUAACACGUGAGUAACCUGCCCUUAACUCUGGGAUAAGCCUUGGAAACGAGGUCUAAUACUGGAUAUUGACUUUACCUCGCAUGGGGUUUUGUUGAAAGAUUUAUUGGUUUUGGAUGGACUCGCGGCCUAUCAGCUUGUUGGUGAGGUAAUGGCUCACCAAGGCGACGACGGGUAGCCGGCCUGAGAGGGUGACCGGCCACACUGGGACUGAGACACGGCCCAGACUCCUACGGGAGGCAGCAGUGGGGAAUAUUGCACAAUGGGCGAAAGCCUGAUGCAGCGACGCCGCGUGAGGGAUGACGGCCUUCGGGUUGUAAACCUCUUUCAGUAGGGAACAAGGCCAGCAUUUUUGUUGGUUGAGGGUACUUGCAGAAGAAGCGCCGGCUAACUACGUGCCAGCAGCCGCGGUAAUACGUAGGGCGCAAGCGUUAUCCGGAAUUAUUGGGCGUAAAGAGCUCGUAGGCGGUUUGUCGCGUCUGCCGUGAAAGUCCGGGGCUCAACCCCGGAUCUGCGGUGGGUACGGGCAGACUAGAGUGAUGUAGGGGAGACUGGAAUUCCUGGUGUAGCGGUGAAAUGCGCAGAUAUCAGGAGGAACACCGAUGGCGAAGGCAGGUCUCUGGGCAUUAACUGACGCUGAGGAGCGAAAGCAUGGGGAGCGAACAGGAUUAGAUACCCUGGUAGUCCAUGCCGUAAACGUUGGGCACUAGGUGUGGGGGACAUUCCACGUUUUCCGCGCCGUAGCUAACGCAUUAAGUGCCCCGCCUGGGGAGUACGGCCGCAAGGCUAAAACUCAAAGGAAUUGACGGGGGCCCGCACAAGCGGCGGAGCAUGCGGAUUAAUUCGAUGCAACGCGAAGAACCUUACCAAGGCUUGACAUGAACUGGAAAUACCUGGAAACAGGUGCCCCGCUUGCGGUCGGUUUACAGGUGGUGCAUGGUUGUCGUCAGCUCGUGUCGUGAGAUGUUGGGUUAAGUCCCGCAACGAGCGCAACCCUCGUUCUAUGUUGCCAGCACGUAAUGGUGGGGACUCAUAGGAGACUGCCGGGGUCAACUCGGAGGAAGGUGAGGACGACGUCAAAUCAUCAUGCCCCUUAUGUCUUGGGCUUCACGCAUGCUACAAUGGCCGGUACAAUGGGUUGCGAUACUGUGAGGUGGAGCUAAUCCCAAAAAGCCGGUCUCAGUUCGGAUUGGGGUCUGCAACUCGACCCCAUGAAGUCGGAGUCGCUAGUAAUCGCAGAUCAGCAACGCUGCGGUGAAUACGUUCCCGGGCCUUGUACACACCGCCCGUCAAGUCACGAAAGUUGGUAACACCCGAAGCCGGUGGCCUAACCC
rnacentral:rRNA from 1 species